AAGGUCUAGCCUGUUUGUGUUUGGAAGUUAAGGACGUGUGCACCAAAUUUUUCAUGCAAACCUGGUCUCCAUGGGUAUACAGAUCACAGAGGAGCACUCAGUUAUCAUUCAUGAUGAAUUGCAGAAAGGAAUUGGAUGAUUUUCACUUACCAGAAGCUGGGACUUGGCGCAGGAAGCCUGAGAGUCCAAAGGAGAUUGGUCCCAAGGCUUGCUGUAACACAGCUCCACUGGGAGAGUCCCCUGCUCAAAUUAAGCCUGCCUGUGAAACCUGAGAGGAAGUGUAAGGAACACACAUCAAAGUUGCUGGUGAACGCAGCAGGCCAGGCAGCAUCUAUAGGAAGAGGUACAGUCGACGUUUCAGGCCGAGACCCUUCGUCAGGACUAACUGAAGGAAGUGUAAGGACUGAGUGUUAAUGUUAUCGCAGAGUUUCAGACAUCUGUCAGCUAUUAAUAACAAUUAGUUACUGAGCUUUAAGUAAACCUACAACACAGAACAGUAGAGCACAGGAACAGGCCCUUCAGCCCAUGAUGACUGUGACAACCAGAACAUCAAAUUAAUCUAAACUGAACUAUCUGCACAGAAUCCAUAUCCUGAAUGGUCAUGUGCUUUUUCAAAUGUAUCUCAACUGUACUAUCAUGCUGAUUCACCACCACUCCUGCCAGUGCAUUCCAGGCACCCGUCACUCUCUGUAAUAAAUACCACCCACAAAUCUCCUUUGAAUGUUAUACCCCUCACCUUAAAUCUCUGUCCUUUUGGAUAUGACAUUUUACCCUGGGAAAAUGACUGACUGUCGACUCUGUCAAUAAC